rnacentral:rRNA from 1 species
UACGUAGGGUGCAAGCGUUGUCCGGAAUUAUUGGGCGUAAAGAGCUCGUAGGCGGUUUGUUGCGUCGGCUGUGAAAUCCCGAGGCUCAACCUCGGGUCUGCAGUCGAUACGAGCAAACUAGAGUGUUGCAGGGGAGAAUGGAAUUCCCGGUGUAGCGGUGAAAUGCGCAGAUAUCGGGGAGGAACACCGGUGGCGAAGGCGGUUCUCUGGGCCUUACCUGACGCUGAGGAGCGAAAGCGUGGGGAGCGAACAGG